rnacentral:rRNA from 1 species
GACGAACGCUGGCGGCGUGCCUAAUACAUGCAAGUAGGACGCAGUUGCGAACGGGUGAGUAACGCGUAGGUAACUAGCUAGUAGAGGGGGAUAACUAUUGGAAACGAUAGCUCAUACCGCAUACUAGUAGAUGGACCUACGUGGUAUUAGCUAGUAGGUAGGGUAAGGGCCUACCUAGGCAACGAUACAUAGUCGAUGGUAGAGGGUGAUCGGCCAAAAUGGGACUGAGACACGGCCCAGACGCCUACGGGAGGCAGCAGUUGGGAAUCUUUGGCAAUUGGGGGAACCCUGACCGAGCAAAGCCGCGUGAGUGAAGAAGGUUUUCGGAUCGUAAAGCUCUGUUGUUAAGGAAGCGGUACUUACCCAGAAAGGGACGGCUAACUACGUGCCAGCAGCCGCGGUAAUUC